GGAUUCCCCUAGUAACGGCGAGUGAAGCGGGAAAAGCUCAAAUUUGAAAUCUGGCGGUCNCCGGCCGUCCGAGUUGUAGUCUAGAGAGGCGUCUUCCGCGCCGGACCAUGCACAAGUCCCUUGGAACAGGGCGUCAUAGAGGGUGAGAAUCCCGUCCGUGGCAUGGACUCCCGGUGCUNUGUGAUGCGCCUUCGAAGAGUCGAGUUGUUUGGGAAUGCAGCUCAAAAUGGGUGGUAAAUUCCAUCUAAAGCUAAAUACAGGCGAGAGACCGAUAGCGAACAAGUACCGUGAGGGAAAGAUGAAAAGCACUUUGGAAAGAGAGUUAAACAGUACGUGAAAUUGUUGAAAGGGAAACGCUUGGAGUCAGUCGCGUUUGCCGGGACUCAGCCUAGCUUCUGCUUGGUGCACUUCCCGGUACACGGGCCAGCAUCGAUUUUGACCGCCGGAAAAAGGCUUGGGGAAGGUGGCACCUCNGGGUGUGUUAUAGCCCCUCGUUGUAUACGGUGGUUGGGAUCGAGGACCGCAGCACGCCUUUUGGUCGGGGUUCGCCCACGCCACGUGCUUAGGAUGCUGGCGUAAUGGCUUUAAACGACCCGUCUUGAAACACGGACCAAGGAGUCUAACAUGCCUGCGAGUGUUUGGGUGUAAAACCCAGGCGCGUAAUGAAAGUGAAAGGUUGGGACUCUUCGCUGAGGCACCGACGCCCGAUCCUGACGUUCUCUGACGGAUUUGAGGUAGAGCAUGUAUGUUGGGACCCGAAAGAUGGUGAACUAUGCCUGAAUAGGGCGAAGCCAGAGGAAACUCUGGUGGAGGCUCGUAGCGAUUCUGACGUGCAAAUCGAUCGUCAAAUUUGGGUAUAGGGGCGAAAGACUAAUCGAACCAUCUAGUA
rnacentral:rRNA from 1 species